UACGAAGGGGGCUAGCGUUGCUCGGAAUCACUGGGCGUAAAGGGUGCGUAGGCGGGUUUUUAAGUCAGGGGUGAAAUCCUGGAGCUCAACUCCAGAACUGCCUUUGAUACUGAGGAUCUUGAGUUCGGGAGAGGUGAGUGGAACUGCGAGUGUAGAGGUGAAAUUCGUAGAUAUUCGCAAGAACACCAGUGGCGAAAGGCGGCUCACUGGCCCGAUACUGACGCUGAGGCACGAAAGCGUGGGGAGCAAACAGG
rnacentral:rRNA from 1 species